rnacentral:rRNA from 1 species
AAUACGUUCCCGGACCUUGCACACACCGCCCGUCAAGCCAUGGGAGCCGGGCGUACCUAAAGUCGGUAACCGCAAGGAGCUGCCUAGGGUAAAAUCGGUGACUGGGGCU